rnacentral:rRNA from 1 species
AGUAGUUUGAUCAGUGGCUCGAGGACGACGCUGGCGGCGUGCCUAACACAUGCAAGUCGAACGGACUGAUUCGCUUCGGCGAUGAAAGUUAGUGGCGGACGGGUGAGUAACGCGUGAGUAACCUGCCUUUCAGAGGGGGAUAACGUUUGGAAACGAACGCUAAUACCGCAUAACAUAUAUUUGUCGCAUGGCAGAUAUAUCAAAGGAGCAAUCCGCUGAAAGAUGGACUCGCGUCUGAUUAGAUAGUUGGCGGGGUAACGGCCCACCAAGUCGACGAUCAGUAGCCGGACUGAGAGGUUGAAAGGCCACAUUGGGACUGAGACACGGCCCAGACUCC